CUCUUUCCCCUGCUUCUGCUUGUUAGUUUUCUGCUGAAUUAGUAAAUUGAAUUAAGGAGCUGCUAACUGCAAUCAGAUCACUGCAGAAUUAUCCCAUCAUCAUACAAAUGAUCAAUGCUCUUCUGAAUCCAGGAGGGACCCAAAUGUAAAAAGAAACUUCGCAUAUGCACAAUUUCAGAGUUUUAAAUGGGAGACGCUGCUGAAAGGCUCACAGGAGAAUCCUGAAACAUACUGAGGAUAAGCAUGUGGGUAACUCUGCUCCCUGUGGACCAAAUUAUGCCAUUGUUCUUCAUAACUCAACAGUCACAAGUACCAGCAGUGUAUGUCUGGGUGCUCAAGCUGAGGGAAAGACUGGUUGACCUGAGCUGUGCCCCAUCUCUGUCCUCCUUUGAAUUUUGAGUUCCAAGACACUGAAGAACUCAAGAAUGGGGUAGACUGGGUUAGCCUAAUGAGACUUUCACUCUCCAAGAAGCUAAUUUUAGAUUCUGCCUCAACUAAAUCAACAAAUUACUUUAAUAAAUAUCUUACAGAAGCAUUUGACCCCAUUUCUAGAAGAAACCCAUGAGCGUUCCAUAUGACAUCACAGGCAGAGCUGGUGUGCAGUUAGCGAUAUUCUUAGCACAAAUAUAUGUGCUGGCCCCAGGUCCUC